GGGAAACUCUGCAGUCUGGGAAACAAAACAAAUCUACAAUGUCAUGAGAUCUUCACCAUCUCUCAAGUUCUUGCUGUUGGUAAAUCUAAUUUAGGAGGGAAAAGGAAAAGAAGUACUAUUUUCCAAGUGAGACCUGAAGUCCUAGUAUAAAUUUAUUGGGAUGAUAAAGUAUGCUACAGCUCCCAAAGAAACAGAUCCUCAUAGGUAAGAAGUGUGUGUGUGUGUGUGUGUGUGUGUGUGUACAGAGCACCCCUGGAGCCUGUCAGAGAUUAUUACAUGCCCCCAAAUAUGAUUAAUUUCUGAUAAGUUUGGACACAGAAAUGUUUGCUGUGACUUUCUCAAGCACCAAACUUUGAGACUUCUCAAAUCUAGGUAUGUUAGGACAUUGCAAAAUGAGCCAAGAACCAAUAUACGUGUAAGUAGUAUUCAUUCCUUUGUGUUAUACAUGAGGCAACUGCAGAUCAGGUGAUUGGCUGAAGGUUACAGAGUUAAUAAGCCUCAGUUUUGAGUUAGAACAAAAGUCUCCUGCCUUCAGUUCUCAUUUUAUUCACCCACAUUGCUUUUAUUCAAAUGGCUGACACUAUCUCACUAUCUACAACGUCAGAUGGUUUCCUCUGUUUCAGAAUCCAAACAUUUCAAUGUAGGUUUUUUUUUUUUUUUGUAUUAGGGAUGAAAACAGAGGUACUUUUACAUUGAGCUACAUUGUCAGUCCUUGUUAUUUUUGAGACAGGGUCCUGAUAAAUUGCUGAGGGUCUUGUUCAGUUGCUGAGGCUGAUCUUGAACUUGUGAUCCUCCUGCCUCAUCUUCCCAGAGUCGCUGGGUUUACAGGCAUGUGCUACCAUGUCUGGCUUGGUUUAGGUUUUGCAUGAUGUGUUCUGACAUAAUCAUUAGUAUCCAUUUAUUUUUAUUUAUUUUUAUUUUUUGAGUACUGGGGAUUGAACUUAGGGACAUUCAACCACUGAACCACGUCUCCAGCCCUGUUUUGUAUUUUCUUUAGAAACAGGGUUUCACGGAGGCUUUUGCUGAGGCUGGCUUUGAACUUGUGAUCCUUCUGCCGCAGCCUCCUGAGCCCCUGGGAUUAUAGGCAUGUACCACCGCACCUGGCUCAUUAGUAUCCAUCUUUUCUUGAACGUUUUUAGAAAUUCUGCUUUCUUUGGCACUGAAAUUCUUGCUUCCACACUAAGACCAAGUGCUUCUGGGAAAGCUGAUAUCACAUCCAACUUAAGAGUGGAUGUGAAAUUCAGUCUUACUGUGACUUCAGAGUUUGAUUCAUGGAUAACUAUGUAACCCAUUCAGAGUCAAUGUAUCAUAAGAAACCUGUGUGGAGAUUGUUGGGAAAGAAGAAUUUUCUUUCUGCUGAAAUUUAUUUUUUCUUUUCUUUUGUCUUUCUUUUUUAAAAAUAUUUUUUAGUUGUAGAUGGACACAAUGCCUUUAUUUUAUUUUUAUGUGGUGCUGAGGAUUGAACCCAGUGUCUUCCACAUGCAAGGUGAGCGCUCUACUACUGAGCUAUAACCCCAGCCCAUUCUGCUGAAAUUUCUAGCAAUAAAGAAGAAUGAAAAUAGGCACUUGAUUCCACUUGGUGACUAUAUUGGAAGGCAAGGGCAAUCCCCAGCAGUGGGGAAAGAAAAGGAUAAUUAUCAUCUGAUAUGGGUUUAGAAGCCAAGAAAAGCAGGAAAGUACCAAGAUUGAUUAACCCGUCAAUGCAUGAUAUCAUCCAGGAUCCAUAAUCCCUUCCGUGUAAAAUCUGGGGCCUAUUUUGAGAUUCAGAAUGAAGACAUCUGAGCAGACUCUGAUGAAUCUGGAAAAUGUGAACUCCUCAUCCCUCCAAAAGUCUCCUUCCUUCCUUCCAUCAUUCUCUCUUCUUCUCCUACUAACUUUUUUGAAAUAGUUUAAAACUUACAAUAAGUUGCAAAAAUGGUAGAGAGUUCUUAGGUACCUUUUGCCCAGUUCCAUCCAAUGAUAACUUAUAACACCAAAGUUCCUGGUAAAAACAAGGAAACUGACAUUGGUAUAAUUAUGAUUACUCAUGUACCUUAUUCAGAUUUUCCCAGUUUUCAUAUGCACAUCUUUAUUUUUUUUUUGGUGUGUGUAUGCUUAUAGUUCUAUGAAAUUUAAUCAUGUGUUUUUAGCAUAUGUAUUUUAUCAUAAUAACACUUACCACAAUCAGAAUAUAGAACUGUCCCAUUACCACAAAGAAACUCCCCUGUGUUGCCCCUUAUUAGUCAUCCUUCCCUCAACUCUCACCCCUGGCAACCACUGAUACAUUCUCUAUCACUGUAAUUUUGUCAUUUCGAGCAUGUUAUGUACGUGGAAGUAUACACUAUAUAACUGUUUGAGAAAACGCCCUUGAAAUCUGUCCAAGUUGUUG
rnacentral:lncRNA from 1 species